UGGCGCGSGGAUUUGGAGGCAGCAGCAGGGAAUAUUGCGCAAUGGACGAAAGUCUGACGCAGCGACGCCGCGUGAGGGAAGAAGACCUUCGGGUUGUAAACCUCUUUUCCUGGGGAAGAAUAAUGACGGUACCCAGGGAAUAAGUCUCGGCCAACUACGUGCCAGCAGCCGCGGUAAUACGUAGGAGGCAAGCGUUAUCCGGAUUUACUGGGCGUAAAGGGGGUGUAGGUGGCUUUUCAAGUCGGGUGUGAAAUCUUCCGGCUUAACCGGAAGGGGUCAUUCGAUACUGUUAGGCUAGAGUGCAGCAGAGGGAGAUGGAAUUCCCGGUGUAGUGGUGAAAUGUGUAGAUAUCGGGAGGAACACCAGUGGCGAAGGCGGUCUCCUGGGCUGUAACUGACGCUGAGGCCCGUAAGCGUGGGGAGCAAACAGGAUUAGAUACCCUGGUAGUCCACGCUGUAAACGAUGGAUACUAGGUAUGGGGAGUAUCGACCCCCUCUGUGCCGAAGCUAACGCUUUAAGUAUCCCGCCUGGGGACUACGGUCGCAAGACUAAAACUCAAA
rnacentral:rRNA from 1 species